AGGAGGGCGCGGCGGUCGCU
rnacentral:snRNA from 1 species